rnacentral:lncRNA from 1 species
GGACGGGUAAUCCGAAUUAGGGUCUGAAUUUAGCCUGGACUAGUAAUUCAGAUCCAAGCUCAUUAGAGUAAUUGUCGUUGCAGGGGAUUUAGCCUGGACUGGUAAUCCCGACAAUACUCUAUGAGUUUAUAUUACAGGGGAUUUAGCCUGGACUGGUAAUCCCGCUGUAAGGAUGAGGUUUGCGGGAGUGUGCUCUCUGAAAUGGAAAUGUGCGCACAUGAAUAUGAAUUGACGGACCC